rnacentral:rRNA from 1 species
ACGAACGCUGGCGGCGUGCCUAAUACAUGCAAGUAGAACGCUGAAGAGAGGAGCUUGCUCUUCUUGGAUGAGUUGCGAACGGGUGAGUAACGCGUAGGUAACCUGCCUUGUAGCGGGGGAUAACUAUUGGAAACGAUAGCUAAUACCGCAUAACAAUGGAUGACCCAUGUCAUUUAUUUGAAAGGGGCAAAUGCUCCACUACAAGAUGGACCUGCGUUGUAUUAGCUAGUAGGUGAGGUAACGGCUCACCUAGGCGACGAUACAUAGCCGACCUGAGAGGGUGAUCGGCCACACUGGGACUGAGACACGGCCCAGACUCCUACGGGAGGCAGCAGUAGGGAAUCUUCGGCAAUGGGGGCAACCCUGACCGAGCAACGCCGCGUGAGUGAAGAAGGUUUUCGGAUCGUAAAGCUCUGUUGUAAGUCAAGAACGAGUGUGAGAGUGGAAAGUUCACACUGUGACGGUAGCUUACCAGAAAGGGACGGCUAACUACGUGCCAGCAGCCGCGGUAAUACGUAGGUCCCGAGCGUUGUCCGGAUUUAUUGGGCGUAAAGCGAGCGCAGGCGGUUUGAUAAGUCUGAAGUUAAAGGCUGUGGCUCAACCAUAGUUCGCUUUGGAAACUGUCAAACUUGAGUGCAGAAGGGGAGAGUGGAAUUCCAUGUGUAGCGGUGAAAUGCGUAGAUAUAUGGAGGAACACCGGUGGCGAAAGCGGCUCUCUGGUCUGUAACUGACGCUGAGGCUCGAAAGCGUGGGGAGCGAACAGGAUUAGAUACCCUGGUAGUCCACGCCGUAAACGAUGAGUGCUAGGUGUUGGAUCCUUUCCGGGAUUCAGUGCCGCAGCUAACGCAUUAAGCACUCCGCCUGGGGAGUACGACCGCAAGGUUGAAACUCAAAGGAAUUGACGGGGGCCCGCACAAGCGGUGGAGCAUGUGGUUUAAUUCGAAGCAACGCGAAGAACCUUACCAGGUCUUGACAUCCCGAUGCUAUUUCUAGAGAUAGAAAGUUACUUCGGUACAUCGGUGACAGGUGGUGCAUGGUUGUCGUCAGCUCGUGUCGUGAGAUGUUGGGUUAAGUCCCGCAACGAGCGCAACCCCUAUUGUUAGUUGCCAUCAUUCAGUUGGGCACUCUAGCGAGACUGCCGGUAAUAAACCGGAGGAAGGUGGGGAUGACGUCAAAUCAUCAUGCCCCUUAUGACCUGGGCUACACACGUGCUACAAUGGUUGGUACAACGAGUUGCGAGUCGGUGACGGCAAGCUAAUCUCUUAAAGCCAAUCUCAGUUCGGAUUGUAGGCUGCAACUCGCCUACAUGAAGUCGGAAUCGCUAGUAAUCGCGGAUCAGCACGCCGCGGUGAAUACGUUCCCGGGCCUUGUACACACCGCCCGUCACACCAUGGGAGUCAGUAACGCCCGAAGUCAGUGACCUAACUGCAAAGAAGGAGCUGCCGAAGGCGGGACCGAUGACUGGGGUG